UCGCCAUGGGACCAAAGUGUCCAAUCAGGAUGAAGAAAAAAUGAGAAUGUACAAUAAAGUUUGUGGUUGUCACAAGAAGUGGAAAAGGUCAAGCAUUUUCAAUCCAAGCAUCUUAUGCCAGGCAUAAGGCUCAAAGAAAUCCUAAAUCGUGUAUAGAAGCUUCAUCUUGUAAAGACAGCAACUUCUCAUGGGGCUAUGUGGGGGUGUGAACAUGUUAAUUUGUUCUCAGAAACACCACUACUAUGAAACAACUGACACCUGGAAACGCAGAGCCUCCAAACUUCGACAAAAAAGCAGGAAAAUGCUCCAAAAAUGAGCCCACUCUGUAAAUACAAAAGUCCUUC